rnacentral:rRNA from 1 species
CAGUCGCCACGGUAAAACGGAGGGGGCAAGCGUUAUCCGGAAUUAUUGGGCGUAAAGGGUACGUAGGUGGCCUUUUAAGCGUAGGGUAUAAGGCAAUGGCUCAACCAUUGUUCGCCCUAUGAACUGGAAGGCUUGAGUGCAGGAGAGGAAAGCGGAAUUCCUAGUGUAGCGGUGGAAUGCAUAGAUAUUAGGAGGAACAUCAGCGGCGAAGGCGGCUUUCUGGACUGCAACUGACACUGAGGUACGAAGGCGUGGGGAGCAAACAGGAUUAGAUACCCGAGUAGUCCCUGUCUCUUAUACA